rnacentral:rRNA from 1 species
UAAACGACUCUCGGCAACGGAUAUCUCGGCUCUCGCAUCGAUGAAGAACGCAGCGAAAUGCGAUACGUGGUGUGAAUUGCAGAAUCCCGUGAACCAUCGAGUCUUUGAACGCAAGUUGCGCCCGAAGCCAUUAGGCCGAGGGCACGUCUGCCUGGGCGU